rnacentral:rRNA from 1 species
AGCAGUAGCCGCGGUAAUACAGAGGGUGCGAGCGUUAAUCGGAUUUACUGGGCGUAAAGCGUGCGUAGGCGGCUUUUUAAGUCGGAUGUGAAAUCCCUGAGCUUAACUUAGGAAUUGCAUUUGAUACUGGGAAGCUAGAGUAUGGGAGAGGAUGGUAGAAUUCCAGGUGUAGCGGUGAAAUGCGUAGAGAUCUGGAGGAAUACCGAUGGCGAAGGCAGCCAUCUGGCCUAAUACUGACGCUGAGGUACGAAAGCAUGGGGAGCAAACAGGAUUAGAUACCCCCGUAGUCCCUGUCUCUUAUAC